rnacentral:tRNA from 1 species
AGCUCGGUGGUCGAGUGGUAAGACGUCUGAUCUAGAAAGCAGGAGAUCGUGGGUUCAAGUCCCAUCCGAGUGA